rnacentral:lncRNA from 1 species
GAAUCUGAUCGCCUCCUCAAGAUGGAAGAGACCCUUCACAAGAGAGUUAUUGGUCAGGACGAAGCUGUCAAAGCUAUUAGUCGUGCUAUCCGGCGUGCACGUGUUGGACUCAAAAACCCCAAUCGACCAAUUGCUAGUUUCAUCUUUUCUGGUCCAACUGGUGUCGGGAAGUCUGAACUGGCCAAAGCACUGGCUGCCUAUUACUUUGGCUCAGAGGAGGCCAUGAUCAGGCUUGAUAUGAGUGAGUUCAUGGAAAGACACACUGUUUCCAAGCUCAUUGGUUCACCACCUGGUUAUGUUGGUUACACUGAGGGUGGUCAGCUGACUGAGGCUGUUCGCCGUC